rnacentral:rRNA from 1 species
UACGGAGGGUGCGUGCGUUGUCCGGAAUCAUUGGGCGUAAAGGGCGCGUAGGUGGCGGGACAAGCGUGCGGUGAAAGCUUGGGGCUCAACCCCGAGUCGGCCGUGCGAACUGUCUUGCUUGAGCACUGUAGAGGCAGGCGGAAUUCCGGGUGUAGCGGUGGAAUGCGUAGAGAUCCGGAAGAACACCGGUGGCGAAGGCGGCCUGCUGGGCAGUAGCUGACACUGAGGCGCGACAGCGUGGGGAGCAAACAGG